GAUGAACGCUAGCUACAGGCUUAACACAUGCAAGUCGAGGGGAAACGACAUCGAAAGCUUGCUUUUGAUGGGCGUCGACCGGCGCACGGGUGAGUAACGCGUAUCCAACCUGCCCAUCACUUGGGAAUAACCUUGCGAAAGUAAGACUAAUACCCAAUGACAUCCCACGAAGACAUCUGAAUGGGAUGAAAGAUUUAUCGGUGAUGGAUGGGGAUGCGUCUGAUUAGCUUGUUGGCGGGGUAACGGCCCACCAAGGCAACGAUCAGGAGGGGUUCUGAGGGUAAGGUCCCCCACAUUGGAACUGAGACACGGGCCAAACUCCUACGGGAGGCAGCAGUGAGGAAGAUUGGUCAAGGGGCGAGAGCCUGAACCAGCCAAGUAGCGUGCAGGAUGACGGCCCUAUGGGUUGUAAACUGCUUUUAUAAGGGAAUAAAGUGGGUCUCGUGAGACUUUUUGCAUGUACCUUAUGAAUAAGGACCGGCUAAUUCCGUG
rnacentral:rRNA from 1 species